rnacentral:rRNA from 1 species
UGGGGGAUAUUGCACAAUGGGCGAAAGCCUGAUGCAGCGACGCCGCGUGGGGGAUGAAGGCUUUCGGGUUGUAAACCUCUUUCGCUAUCGAACAAGGCCCGCUUAGGGUGGGUUGAGGGUAGGUGGAGAAGAAGCACCGGCUAACUCCGUGCCAGCAGCCGCGGUAAUACGGAGGGUGCAAGCGUUAAUCGGAAUUACUGGGCGUAAAGCGCACGCAGGCGGUUUGUUAAGUCAGAUGUGAAAUCCCCGGGCUCAACCUGGGAACUGCAUCUGAUACUGGCAAGCUUGAGUCUCGUAGAGGGGGGUAGAAUUCCAGGUGUAGCGGUGAAAUGCGUAGAGAUCUGGAGGAAUACCGGUGGCGAAGGCGGCCCCCUGGACGAAGACUGACGCUCAGGUGCGAAAGCGUGGGGAGCAAACAGG